ACGAACGCUGGCGGCGUGCUUAACACAUGCAAGUCGAACGGAGAUAAUAGUAAUAUUAUCUUAGUGGCGGACGGGUGAGUAACGCGUGGGCAACUUGCCUCAGACAGGGGGAUAACACAGGGAAACUUGUGCUAAUACCGCAUAACAUCACGAGAUGACAUCUUCUUGUGAUCAAAGGAGAAAUCUGGUUUGAGAUGGACCCGCGUCCGAUUAGCUAGUUGGCGGUGUAAUGGACCACCAAGGCGACGAUCGGUAGCCGAACUGAGAGGUUGAUCGGCCACAUUGGGACUGAGACACGGCCCAGACUCCUACGGGAGGCAGCAGUGGGGAAUAUUGCACAAUGGGGGAAACCCUGAUGCAGCAACGCCGCGUGAAGGAUGAAGGUUUUCGGAUUGUAAACUUCUUUGAUUGGGGACGAAAAAAAUGACGGUACCCAAAAAACAAGCCACGGCUAACUACGU
rnacentral:rRNA from 1 species